GGUUAAGCGACUAAGCGUACACGGUGGAUGCCCUGGCAGUCAGAGGCGAUGAAGGACGUGCUAAUCUGCGAAAAGCGCCGGCGAGGUGAUAUGAACCCUUGACCCGGCGAUGUCCGAAUGGGGAAACCCAGUGCAAUCCGUUGCACUAUCGUUAACUGAAUACAUAGGUUAACGAGGCGAACCGGGGGAACUGAAACAUCUAAGUACCCCGAGGAAAAGAAAUCAACCGAGAUUCCCCCAGUAGCGGCGAGCGAACGGGGAGCAGCCCAGAGUCUGAAUCAGCUUGUGUGUUAGUGGAAGCGUCUGGAAAGUCGCACGGUACAGGGUGAAAGUCCCGUACACGAAAAUGCACAGGCUGUGAACUCGAAGAGUAGGGCGGGACACGUGGUAUCCUGUCUGAAUAUGGGGGGACCAUCCUCCAAGGCUAAAUACUCCUGACUGACCGAUAGUGAACCAGUACCGUGAGGGAAAGGCGAAAAGAACCCCGGCGAGGGGAGUGAAAAAGAACCUGAAACCGUGUACGUACAAGCAGUGGGAGCACCUUCGGGUGUGACUGCGUACCUUUUGUAUAAUGGGUCAGCGACUUAUAUUCUGUAGCAAGGUUAACCGUAUAGGGGAGCCGAAGGGAAACCGAGUCUUAACUGGGCGUUAAGUUGCAGGGUAUAGACCCGAAACCCGGUGAUCUAGCCAUGGGCAGGUUGAAGGUUGGGUAACACUAACUGGAGGACCGAACCGACUAAUGUUGAAAAAUUAGCGGAUGACCUGUGGCUGGGGGUGAAAGGCCAAUCAAACCGGGAGAUAGCUGGUUCUCCCCGAAAGCUAUUUAGGUAGCGCCUCGUGAACUCAUCUUCGGGGGUAGAGCACUGUUUCGGCUAGGGGGCCAUCCCGGCUUACCAACCCGAUGCAAACUACGAAUACCGAAGAAUGUUAUCACGGGAGACACACGGCGGGUGCUAACGUCCGUCGUGAAGAGGGAAACAACCCAGACCGCCAGCUAAGGUCCCAAAGUCAUGGUUAAGUGGGAAACGAUGUGGGAAGGCCCAGACAGCCAGGAUGUUGGCUUAGAAGCAGCCAUCAUUUAAAGAAAGCGUAAUAGCUCACUGGUCGAGUCGGCCUGCGCGGAAGAUGUAACGGGGCUAAACCAUGCACCGAAGCUGCGGCAGCGACGCUUAUGCGUUGUUGGGUAGGGGAGCGUUCUGUAAGCCGUUGAAGGUGGCCUGUGAGGGCUGCUGGAGGUAUCAGAAGUGCGAAUGCUGACAUAAGUAACGAUAAAGCGGGUGAAAAGCCCGCUCGCCGGAAGACCAAGGGUUCCUGUCCAACGUUAAUCGGGGCAGGGUGAGUCGACCCCUAAGGCGAGGCCGAAAGGCGUAGUCGAUGGGAAACAGGUUAAUAUUCCUGUACUUGGUGUUACUGCGAAGGGGGGACGGAGAAGGCUAUGUUAGCCGGGCGACGGUUGUCCCGGUUUAAGCAUGUAGGCGGAGGUUC
rnacentral:rRNA from 1 species